AACCACGUGUACUAAAGCAGCUGAUUACUUGCUAGUUGCUUUUGUCGAUCGAUUGUGUUAGAGUUUGUGCUUCUUUUGUUGCCUUUAUCAUGUUGGUAGAAAGGCCAACUUCGUGUGUAGAUACGAACUUCACCACUUAGUGCCAACCGUCCGUCUCUACUACCUACUGGCGAUACCGGGGAAAAAGAUAAAGCAGUGGGAGAGUAUUUACUCAUUGUACUCGUACAGUUAAAGUGGUUUCGGAGGUAGCUUUGAAUGUAAUAUGCAACUCACCUCAGUUAAUGGUGGAUACAAAUACGGUUAUUAAAUGAAAUAUUUUCGCAUAAAAUCUAAUUAUAAUGCUCAGACACUGGUAAUAAACUUCAAACAAAUGACAAUACAAAUGACAAGUGAGGCUGGGCCAAGCAUAUACAAAAGGUGUAAGAAUCAAAUUUGAUAAAUAAAUGCAUAUGCAUUUGUAAUCUGACAAAUUAGUCAAUUCAUUCGUAUGUCGUCAAUCAAUUGGUAUUUGAAAAAAAAUAGUCAAACAUUAAACAUAACACUUCGGAAAUGAGCAUUAUAUACAAAUUAUGAAUACGACUACUAAACGUUUGUUAAGAAAUCGUACAGUUUAGAAAAUAAUGUGUAAUAUGUAUAUAGAUUAGCCAACCCAAAGAAUGUAAUAAAGCAAGCUUUAAACAUAAAUUUUAA